GUUAAGCGACUAAGCGUACACGGUGGAUGCCCUGGCAGUCAGAGGCGAUGAAGGACGUGCUAAUCUGCGAUAAGCGUCGGUAAGGUGAUAUGAACCGUUAUAACCGGCGAUUUCCGAAUGGGGAAACCCAGUGUGAUUCGUCACACUAUCAUUAACUGAAUCCAUAGGUUAAUGAGGCGAACCGGGGGAACUGAAACAUCUAAGUACCCCGAGGAAAAGAAAUCAACCGAGAUUCCCCCAGUAGCGGCGAGCGAACGGGGAGCAGCCCAGAGCCUGAAUCAGUGUGUGUGUUAGUGGAAGCGUCUGGAAAGGCGUGCGAUACAGGGUGACAGCCCCGUACACAAAAAUGCACAUACUGUGAGCUCGAUGAGUAGGGCGGGACACGUGGUAUCCUGUCUGAAUAUGGGGGGACCAUCCUCCAAGGCUAAAUACUCCUGACUGACCGAUAGUGAACCAGUACCGUGAGGGAAAGGCGAAAAGAACCCCGGCGAGGGGAGUGAAAAAGAACCUGAAACCGUGUACGUACAAGCAGUGGGAGCACGCUUAGGCGUGUGACUGCGUACCUUUUGUAUAAUGGGUCAGCGACUUAUAUUCUGUAGCAAGGUUAACCGAAUAGGGGAGCCGAAGGGAAACCGAGUCUUAACUGGGCGUUAAGUUGCAGGGUAUAGACCCGAAACCCGGUGAUCUAGCCAUGGGCAGGUUGAAGGUUGGGUAACACUAACUGGAGGACCGAACCGACUAAUGUUGAAAAAUUAGCGGAUGACUUGUGGCUGGGGGUGAAAGGCCAAUCAAACCGGGAGAUAGCUGGUUCUCCCCGAAAGCUAUUUAGGUAGCGCCUCGUGAAUUCAUCUCCGGGGGUAGAGCACUGUUUCGGCAAGGGGGUCAUCCCGACUUACCAACCCGAUGCAAACUGCGAAUACCGGAGAAUGUUAUCACGGGAGACACACGGCGGGUGCUAACGUCCGUCGUGAAGAGGGAAACAACCCAGACCGCCAGCUAAGGUCCCAAAGUCAUGGUUAAGUGGGAAACGAUGUGGGAAGGCCCAGACAGCCAGGAUGUUGGCUUAGAAGCAGCCAUCAUUUAAAGAAAGCGUAAUAGCUCACUGGUCGAGUCGGCCUGCGCGGAAGAUGUAACGGGGCUAAACCAUGCACCGAAGCUGCGGCAGCGACGCUUAUGCGUUGUUGGGUAGGGGAGCGUUCUGUAAGCCUGUGAAGGUGUACUGUGAGGUAUGCUGGAGGUAUCAGAAGUGCGAAUGCUGACAUAAGUAACGAUAAAGCGGGUGAAAAGCCCGCUCGCCGGAAGACCAAGGGUUCCUGUCCAACGUUAAUCGGGGCAGGGUGAGUCGACCCCUAAGGCGAGGCCGAAAGGCGUAGUCGAUGGGAAACAGGUUAAUAUUCCUGUACUUGGUGUUACUGCGAAGGGGGGACGGAGAAGGCUAUGUUGGCCGGGCGACGGUUGUCCCGGUUUAAGCGUGUAGGCUGGUUUUCCAGGCAAAUCCGGAAAAUCAAGGCCGAGGCGUGAUGACGAGGCACUACGGUGCUGAAGCAACAAAUGCCCUGCUUCCAGGAAAAGCCUCUAAGCAUCAGGUAACAUCAAAUCGUACCCCAAACCGACACAGGUGGUCAGGUAGAGAAUACCAAGGCGCUUGAGAGAACUCGGGUGAAGGAACUAGGCAAAAUGGUGCCGUAACUUCGGGAGAAGGCACGCUGAUACGUAGGUGAAGCGACUUGCUCGUGGAGCUGAAAUCAGUCGAAGAUACCAGCUGGCUGCAACUGUUUAUUAAAAACACAGCACUGUGCAAACACGAAAGUGGACGUAUACGGUGUGACGCCUGCCCGGUGCCGGAAGGUUAAUUGAUGGGGUUAGCGCAAGCGAAGCUCUUGAUCGAAGCCCCGGUAAACGGCGGCCGUAACUAUAACGGUCCUAAGGUAGCGAAAUUCCUUGUCGGGUAAGUUCCGACCUGCACGAAUGGCGUAAUGAUGGCCAGGCUGUCUCCACCCGAGACUCAGUGAAAUUGAACUCGCUGUGAAGAUGCAGUGUACCCGCGGCAAGACGGAAAGACCCCGUGAACCUUUACUAUAGCUUGACACUGAACAUUGAGCCUUGAUGUGUAGGAUAGGUGGGAGGCUUUGAAGUGUGGACGCCAGUCUGCAUGGAGCCGACCUUGAAAUACCACCCUUUAAUGUUUGAUGUUCUAACGUGGACCCGUAAUCCGGGUUGCGGACAGUGUCUGGUGGGUAGUUUGACUGGGGCGGUCUCCUCCUAAAGAGUAACGGAGGAGCACGAAGGUUGGCUAAUCCUGGUCGGACAUCAGGAGGUUAGUGCAAUGGCAUAAGCCAGCUUGACUGCGAGCGUGACGGCGCGAGCAGGUGCGAAAGCAGGUCAUAGUGAUCCGGUGGUUCUGAAUGGAAGGGCCAUCGCUCAACGGAUAAAAGGUACUCCGGGGAUAACAGGCUGAUACCGCCCAAGAGUUCAUAUCGACGGCGGUGUUUGGCACCUCGAUGUCGGCUCAUCACAUCCUGGGGCUGAAGUAGGUCCCAAGGGUAUGGCUGUUCGCCAUUUAAAGUGGUACGCGAGCUGGGUUUAGAACGUCGUGAGACAGUUCGGUCCCUAUCUGCCGUGGGCGCUGGAGAACUGAGGGGGGCUGCUCCUAGUACGAGAGGACCGGAGUGGACGCAUCACUGGUGUUCGGGUUGUCAUGCCAAUGGCACUGCCCGGUAGCUAAAUGCGGAAGAGAUAAGUGCUGAAAGCAUCUAAGCACGAAACUUGCCCCGAGAUGAGUUCUCCCUGACCCUUUAAGGGUCCUGAAGGAACGUUGAAGACGACGACGUUGAUA
rnacentral:rRNA from 1 species